rnacentral:rRNA from 1 species
AUUGAACGCUGGUGGCAGGCCUAACACAUGCAAGUCGAGCGAGCGGCGGACGGGUGAGUAAUGUAUGGGGACUGCCCGAUAGAGGGGGAUAACUACUGGAAACGGUGGCUAAUACCGCAUACUAUCGGAUAACCCAUAUGGGAUUAGCUAGAAGGUGGGGUAAAGGCUCACCUAGGCGACGAUCUCUAGCUGGUCAGAGAGGAUGAUCAGCCACACUGGGACUGGUACACGUCCCAGACCCCUACGGAGGCAGCAGUGGGGAAUAUUGCACAAUGGGCGCAAGCCUGAUGCAGCCAUGCAGCGUGUAGGAAGAAGGCUUUAGGGUCGUAAAGUACUUUCAUCGGGGAGGCGUUACCCGCAGAAGAAGCACCGGCUAACUCCGUGCCAGCAGCCGCGGUAAUAC